rnacentral:rRNA from 1 species
AUACGGAGGGUGCGAGCGUUAAUCGGAAUUACUGGGCGUAAAGCGCGCGUAGGCGGUUUGUUAAGUCGGAUGUGAAAUCCCCGGGCUCAACCUGGGACCUGCAUCCGAUACUGGCAGGCUAGAGUCUGGUAGAGGGGGGUAGAAUUCCUGGUGUAGCGGUGAAAUGCGUAGAGAUCAGGAGGAAUACCAGUGGCGAAGGCGGCCCCCUGGACUGGGACUGACGCUGAGGUGCGAAAGCGUGGGGAGCAAACAGGAUUAGAAACCCCAGUAGUCC